CCUACGGGUGGCAGCAGUAGGGAAUUUUCGUCAAUGGGCGCAAGCCUGAACGAGCGAUGCCGCGUGAGUGAAGAAGGCCUUCGGGUCGGAAAGCUCUGUUGCGGGGGAAAAAAGGCAGCAUCCGGAAAUGGGUGCUGACUGAUGGUGCCCCGCCAGAAAGUCACGGCUAACUACGUGCCAGCAGCCGCGGUAAUACGUAGGUGGUGAGCGUUGUCCGGAAGGAUUGGGCGUAACGGGUGCGCAGGCGGUCCUGCAAGUCUGGAGUGAAACGCAUGAGCUCAACUCAUGCAGGGCUUUGGAAACUGGCGGACGGGAGAGCAGGAGAGGGCGGUGGAACGCCAGGUGUAGCGGUAAAAUGCGUAGAUAUAGGGAAGAACACCAGUGGCGAAGGCGGCCGCCUGGCCUGUUGCUGACGCUGAGGAGCGAAAGCGUGGGUAGCAAACAGGAUUAGAUACCCCAGUAGUC
rnacentral:rRNA from 1 species